GACGAACGCUGGCGGCGUGCUUAACACAUGCAAGUCGAACGGAAAGGCCCCUUUGGGGGUACUCGAGUGGCGAACGGGUGAGUAACACGUGAGUAACCUGCCCUUGACUUCGGGAGAACUUCAGGAAACUGGGGCUAAUACCGGAUAGGAAUCCUUGCUGCAUGGUGGGGGGUGGAAAGCUUCGGCGGGUUUGGAUGGACUCGCGGCUUAUCAGCUUGUUGGUGGGGUAGUGGCUUACCAAGGCUUUGACGGGUAGCCGGCCUGAGAGGGCGACCGGCCACAUUGGGGCUGAGGUACGGCCCCGACUCCUACGGGAGGCCGCAGUGGGGAAUCUUGCCCCAUGGGCGGAAGCCUGAUGCAGCAACGCCGCGUGCGGGAUGGCGGCCUUCGGGUUGUAAACCGCUUUCAGCAGGGGCGAAGCUUGUGGUGACGGUACCUGCAGAAGAAGCACCGGCUAACUACGUG
rnacentral:rRNA from 1 species